AGUGAACGCUGGCGGCGUGCUUAACACAUGCAAGUCGAACGAGAACGGGUUAUAGCUUGCUAUAAUUGUCAGCUAAGUGGCGCACGGGUGAGUAAUGUAUAGGUAAUAUGCCUCUUACUAAGGGAUAACAAAUGGAAACGUUUGCUAAUACCUUAUACUCCUUAUUAACAUAAGUUAAUAAGGGAAAGAUUUAUUGGUAAGAGAUUAGCCUGUAUUGUAUCAGUUAGUUGGUGGGGUAAUGGCUUACCAAGACUAUGACACAUAACUGGUUUGAGAGGAUGAUCAGUCACACUGGAACUGAGACACGGUCCAGACUCCUACGGGAGGCAGCAGUGGGGAAUAUUGCACAAUGGACGAAAGUCUGAUGCAGCAACGCCGCGUGGAGGAUGACACAUUUCGGUGCGUAAACUCCUUUUAUAUGAGAAGAUAAUGACGGUACCAUAUGAAUAAGCACCGGCUAACUCCGUGCCAGCAGCCGCCGUAA
rnacentral:rRNA from 1 species